GGGUUGUGAGGUUAAGUGACUAAGCGUACACGGUGGAUGCCUAGGCAGUCAGAGGCGAUGAAGGGCGUGCUAAUCUGCGAAAAGCGUCGGCAAGGUGAUAUGAACCGUUAUACCCGACGAUACCCGAAUGGGGAAACCCAGUGCAAUCCGUUGCACUAUCAUGUCAUGAAUACAUAGUGGCAUGAGGCGAACCGGGGGAACUGAAACAUCUCAGUACCCCGAGGAAAAGAAAUCAACCGAGAUUCCCCCAGUAGCGGCGAGCGAACGGGGAGGAGCCCAGAACCUGAAUCAGUUUGAGUCUUAGUGGAAGCGUCUGGAAAGUCGCACGACAGAGGGUGAUAGUCCCGUACACGAAGAGGCAUGAGCUGUGAGUUCGAUGAGUAGGGCGGGACACGUGUUAUCCUGUCUGAAUAUGGGGGGACCAUCCUCCAAGGCUAAAUAC
rnacentral:rRNA from 1 species